AAGUCGUAACAAGGUAACCGUAGGUGAACCUGCGGUUGGAUCAUUAACAAAUUGCAAAGGCUUGCCGCAAGGCAAGGCUUUAAACAUUUGUGAACAGUUUCCGUCUCUGGUAGGAGCCGUUCCAAGCGAGUCCUAUGGGCAAGCUUUGGAAUGGCAGUGUAGCAAGUCUUGGCUUUAUGCCUUUACUUGUUCGCAGCCUACCCCAUACUUUAAACCCAUCUUAUUUUGCCUUUAAAUUUUAAUCUUGAAUUAAAAACAACUUUUGACAACGGAUCUCUUGGCUCUC
rnacentral:misc_RNA from 1 species